UGUACAAAAGGGGGCUCGAAUUCAUAAAGCUAUCAUUAAGAUUUAUUACUAUUAAAUUCUCUUUCCAACUUCUUUACAGGAAAAUUGUCCAAUUAUAUUUAAGUUGUAAUACAUCUCGUCUAUAACUAUUACCUUCACCUUUACCUGAUUUUUUUAGAUUAACACUAAUUGUUAAGUAAAAUCUAUUAAACUUAUAAACGGCGGUGGGAAAAGUGAAUUUUUCUAAGCUAAGCACGGUUAUAUGGGUAGUAUCUAUUAAGAGACAUAUUCAUCUAAUCCGAAUCCCUGGCCGCCAUGUAAUUUGAAUUUUUUUAUUAAAAUAAUCUUCUACUUUGAUCUUUUCUGUCAU
rnacentral:rRNA from 1 species